GCCGCUGUAGCGCAGAGGUUAGCGCAUCCGCCUUCUAAGCGGAAGGUCCAGAGUUCGAUCCUCUGCUGUGGUU
rnacentral:tRNA from 1 species